CCUACGGGUGGCUGCAGUGGGGAAUAUUGGACAAUGGGCGAAAGCCUGAUCCAGCCAUGCCGCGUGUGUGAAGAAGGCCUUCGGGUUGUAAAGCACUUUCAGUGGGGAAGAAAGCCUUGGGGCUAAUACCCUCGAGGAAGGACAUCACCCACAGAAGAAGCACCGGCUAACUCCGUGCCAGCAGCCGCGGUAAUACGGAGGGUGCGAGCGUUAAUCGGAAUUACUGGGCGUAAAGCGCGCGUAGGCGGUCUGAUAAGCCGGUUGUGAAAGCCCCGGGCUCAACCUGGGAACGGCAUCCGGAACUGUUAGGCUAGAGUGCAGGAGAGGAAGGUAGAAUUCCCGGUGUAGCGGUGAAAUGCGUAGAGAUCGGGAGGAAUACCAGUGGCGAAGGCGGCCUUCUGGACUGACACUGACGCUGAGGUGCGAAAGCGUGGGUAGCAAACAGGAUUAGAACCCGGGUAGUC
rnacentral:rRNA from 1 species